GGCGUGAAACUACGCCUACCAUGAAGCUGGAGUUACUAGUAAUCGCAGAUCAGAAUGCUGCGGUGAAUGCGUUCCCGGGUCUUGUACACACCGCCCGUCACACCACGGAAGUUGGGGGCGCCCGAAGCCACUUAGCUAACCCUUUUGGGAAGCGAGUGUCGAAGGUGAAAUCAAUAACUGGGGUGAAGUCGUAACAAGGUAAC
rnacentral:rRNA from 1 species